rnacentral:rRNA from 1 species
AUAUCAAUAAGCGCAGGAAGAGAAAGUAACUACGAUUCCCCUAGUAACUGCGAGUGAACAGGGAAGAGCCCAUCCCUGAAUCGAUGGUGGAACGUUAGCGAAGCUAUCGAAUUGUAGGGUUAGAGUCUUGUGGCAAGGCAAGGAGACGCAGGAAAGUCUGCUGGAAUGCGGCGCCAAGGAGGGUGAUAGCCCCGUUUAACCG